CACGCGCCUCAAGCUGCCUCCCGGAAGUCCCCGCGCCCGCGCUUCGGCUGCUUCACGGAAGUCCUUGCUCCUUUGGCUGCCUGCGGAUGUCCUCGCGCUUGCCAGCCUUUGUCACCCAAGCAGUGCCUGUUAACUCUUGUUAUUUGAACCGAAGGAAAGAAAGCAAACUUCAAAAUAUUGUUGCUUCUGAUAUUUUCUGCCUUGUGAGCAAAAUAGAGCAGAUGAGCAAAUGGUCCGUUAAAUAAAGCAAAUAGUCCAUCAAACUAAGCUAAUGAUGAGAAUUAAGAUAAUGUUCUUUUUUUUGUUUUGUUUUGUUUUUUGUUUUUUGAGACGGAGUCUCGC
rnacentral:lncRNA from 10 species